rnacentral:misc_RNA from 2 species
AACGCACAUUGCGCCCCUUGGUAUUCCAUGGGGCAUGCCUGUUCGAGCGUCAUUUGUACCCUCCAGCCCUGCUGGGUGUUGGGCGUUUUGUUCCGCUGCACGCGUGAACUCGCCUCAAAUGCAUUGGCAGCCCGCCGUCCCGUGUGGGAGCGCAGCACAUUUUGCGCUCUCCGCUGCUGACGGUGGCAUCCACAAGUCUACCAUUUUACGCUUGACCUCGGAUCAGGUAGGGAUACCCGCUGAACUUAA